rnacentral:rRNA from 1 species
GAUGAACGCUGGCGGCGUGCCUAAUACAUGCAAGUCGAGCGAACAGAUGAGGAGCUUGCUCCUCUGACGUUAGCGGCGGACGGGUGAGUAACACGUGGAUAACCUACCUAUAAGACUGGGAUAACUUCGUGAAACCGGAGCUAAUACCGGAUAAUAUAUUGAACCGCAUGGUUCAAUAGUGAAAGACGGUUUUGCUGUCACUUAUAGAUGGAUCCGCGCCGCAUUAGCUAGUUGGUAAGGUAACGGCUUACCAAGGCAACGAUGCGUAGCCGACCUGAGAGGGUGAUCGGCCACACUGGAACUGAGACACGGUCCAGACUCCUACGGGAGGCAGCAGUAGGGAAUCUUCCGCAAUGGGCGAAAGCCUGACGGAGCAACGCCGCGUGAGUGAUGAAGGUCUUCGGAUCGUAAAACUCUGUUAUUAGGGAAGAACAAAUGUGUAAGUAACUAUGCACGUCUUGACGGUACCUAAUCAGAAAGCAACGGCUAACUACGUG